UACGUAGGGUGCAAGCGUUGUCCGGAAUUAUUGGGCGUAAAGAGCUCGUAGGCGGUCUGUCGCGUCGGAUGUGAAACCUCGGGGCUCAACCCCGAGCCUGCAUUCGAUACGGGCAGACUAGAGUUCGGUAGGGGAGACUGGAAUUCCUGGUGUAGCGGUGAAAGUGCGCAGAUAUCAGGAGGAACACCGGUGGCGAAGGCGGGUCUCUGGGCCGAUACUGACGCUGAGGAGCGAAAAGCGUGGGGGAGCGAACAGG
rnacentral:rRNA from 1 species